rnacentral:rRNA from 1 species
CCUACGGGAGGCAGCAGUGGGGAAUAUUGGGCAAUGGGCGCAAGCCUGACCCAGCAACGCCGCGUGAAGGAAGAAGGCUUUCGGGUUGUAAACUUCUUUUCUCAGGGACGAAGCAAGUGACGGUACCUGAUGACUAAGCCACGGCUAACUACGUGCCAGCAGCCGCGGUAAUACGUAGGUGGCAAGCGUUAUCCGGAUUUACUGGGUGUAAAGGGCGGGUAGGCGGGGACGCAAGUCAGAUGUGAAAACCACGGGCUCAACCUGUGGCCUGCAUUUGAAACUGUGUUUCUUGAGUGCUGGUGAGGCAGACGGAAUGCCUGGUGUAGCGGUGAAAUGCGUAGAUAUUAGGAAGAACACCAGUGGCGAAGGCGGUCUGCUGAGCAGCAACUGACGCUGAGGCGCGAAAGCGUGGGGAGCAAACAGGAUUAGAUACCCUUGUAGUC